AGAGGGUGCAAGCGUUAAUCGGAAUUACUGGGGCGUAAAGCGUACGUAGGGUGGGGUAAAUUAGUCAGCUGUGAAAUUCCCGGGCUUAACCUGGGAAGGUCAGCUGAUACUGUUUACCUAGAGUACAGUAGAGGGAAGUGGAACUUCCGGUGUAGCGGUGAAAUGCGUAGAUAUCGGAAGGAACACCAGUGGCGAAGGCGUCUUCCUGGACUGAUACUGACACUGAGGUACGAAAGCGUGGGGAGCGAACAGGAUUAGAUACCCUAGUAGUCCACGCCGUAAACGAUGAAAACUAGCUGUUCGGGGGGGUAGACCCCUGAGUAGCGCAGCUAACGCGUUAAGUUUUCCGCCUGGGGAGUACGGCCGCAAGGUUA
rnacentral:rRNA from 1 species